GAGUUUGAUCAUGGCUCAGAUUGAACGCUGGCGGCAUGCCUUACACAUGCAAGUCGAACGGCAGCACGGGAGCUUGCUCCUGGUGGCGAGUGGCGAACGGGUGAGUAAUGCAUCGGAACGUAUCCUGGAGUGGGGGAUAACGUAGCGAAAGUUACGCUAAUACCGCAUAUUCUGUGAGCAGGAAAGCGGGGGACCUUCGGGCCUCGCGCUCUUGGAGCGGCCGAUGUCGGAUUAGCUAGUUGGUGAGGUAAAGGCUCACCAAGGCGACGAUCCGUAGCAGGUCUGAGAGGAUGAUCUGCCACACUGGAACUGAGACACGGUCCAGACUCCUACGGGAGGCAGCAGUGGGGAAUUUUUGGACAAUGGGGGCAACCCUGAUCCAGCCAUGCCGCGUGAGUGAAGAA
rnacentral:rRNA from 1 species